UAGUCGCACUCACGUUGCGAGACAUCAAGUAGACGGUAACAAUAAUAGUAACAAAUUGAAAGAAGAAUCAACCACCAUGCCAACAAUCAAUGAUCUUAGUAAACUGAGUAACAAAGAACUGGCAGACCAAUUAAGAGUGCAUGGCAUUGUUACAGGACCUAUUGUUGUUUCAACACGUAAAAUCUAUGAGAAGAAAUUGAUACAGUGUUUAACAGGUCAUGAGGUUAAAUCACCUCACAAGCCAGUUGUUUAUGAUGAUGAUGAAGAUGAUGUUGCUCCUUCACCGGCCUAUUUAGAGAGAACUGAAGCUAGACGAAGGGCACAUGUGAGAGGAGGAACACCAGAAAGAGAUUUUGAAUCUACACCAAUUAGUGAUUCCUACAGAAGAUCCCCAAUCAGUAAAAGAGAACCAAUGAGACAUACAAGCACACCAGUUAAAUCAUCAGUUACCACGGAAACAACAUCAUCAAAAACAGGAGGGAUUCGGCUUUGGAUAAAACUAGCAUCUGUUGGUGUACUGGUCGUCAUAGCCUACCUUGUAGUCAAGAACAUGGAAUCUCAAGAUAAUAAUAAUGUACCCCGUGGUAUUGAUGCCGAAGUUUAGACAAUCGAGAAAAGAAAACUGUAUAUAUAUAUAUAUUAUUGUAUUGUUUUAAUUUUUUUUUUCACGCAGAAUUAAUGAUUUUUAUCAGUGCUGAUAUCAAGGUUCGUAUACCUUGAAUAACGAAGGCCAUAUAAAAUAAUAUCACUGUUUAUCUGAUACCAAUGCAUAAUUUAAGAGGGUCAAUAGACUCAGUUUGAUUUUUAAAAAUUAAAAUCAUCCUCACAAGUUAUUGCGUGUUCAUAUUUCCUGGGUCAAAGGGAACUAACUGCAUUUAACAUUUCUUGUUAAAAUCGGACGUGGAGCAUGGUUAGUGCUAAAUGAUAAGACCAGCUCAAUUUUUCGUCAUAGGUCACGAGAUGUAAACAGGGCUAGCACUAAGCCCCAAUGCUUACCCAAUGUGCCCUAACCUUAUUUACAUCUCGGCGACCUUGACAGAAAUUGAGCUGGCCAUAACAAAUAGAUUUAGCCCGUGGAGAACAUGAUAUGGUAUUUAGAAUUAUAAAUGAUACUGGACAAUAGUAAAUUGACACAUUGUUAUCAGGAAAUGUCCACUAUUGAUUCAUCUGUUCUAGACUUAAUGAUAUUUACAUCCAUACUUUAGUGGAUGAUAAUUAUCCGCUGAAUUACCUACUAUAUCUGGUAAUGAGAAAGAAAUAACUAAAAUUAUACACCAGUUUAUUGAAUAAUUUUACACAACAGUAAAAAUUCUAAUUCUUAAAUUAGUUGACUAUCUAUGUAAUGUAUUAACCGAUCUGAUUAAAACACAGAUCCUAUUUCA